UUUAGUCUAGUUAAUUCUAUCUUCCUAUAAACCCAGGUAUCAUCAACCUUUAAAACUUGUACAAGUUGUUCCCUGCACUGCACUGCCAUUCCCUAAACCUUAUUCUCUGCAGGCUUCGUUUUGUUGAAGGUGGUGGUACGUAUAGGCUAAGAGUGAGUACGUAGCUUAGCUACCAAUGGGACCUGGUGGACCUCCACCUCCUCCAGGACCUCCCGGACCUCCCGGACCGCCAGGUUUCGGCGGCCCUCCUGGUCCGCCUCCUCUCUGCUGUGGCCUUUGUGAUUGUAUUGGUUCAUGUUUGAGUUUUCUGUGCUGCUGCUGGUUAUUGCAAGACUGCUUUGGUGGGCCACCAGGGCCUCCUGGACCGCCGCCACCUCCAUGAGAUCAUCAAGCAGGCUUGAGUUUCCAGAAAUCAGUUGUAUCGCAUAUAUUUGUAGCAAUUUAUGUACAAUAAAUUUGGAUUAGAAAGAGACUUGUAAUUACGAGUCCUGUUGUGCUAAACUCCAUAGUCCAUAUAAGUUGUGAUCAUUCAUUGUUCGGUUUAAUUUAAUGUUGGAGGAUUAAAUGACCACGUACCAUUUGAUUGAGAUCGAAUGGUAAGUGACCACCAUUUCUUUGGAUCCUCGGGUCUAGAAUAAGUCUGUAAUUCCAGUCAUCACUGAAUUAUAAUUAUCUAUUUAUUUUUGUUUCA